GUCUUUGUAGGUAUCAUCACAGAAUGAGGGCGUCAUUAUGUUUGGUGUUGGGAGGUGCGAUGCUUUUGUCGAUUCUAGUUAACAUAACAAACAGCGAAAGAAUAUGUUUUUCAUUUCGGUAUAACACAGGAUGAAAAAUGUCAACAUGCUAUCAGUUGUGAUAAGGAUGAGAUUUGUUUUGUUCAGAAAUAUUACACACAUGGAAACGAAACUAAAUACGAUGUUGGUUGUACAUUUCAGGAGAUGUGCCAAAUGGAUGUAACAGGACAUAUAAUAGGAAAGAGUAAUGACCACGCCCAUAUUCUAUGCCUGAAAUGUUGCAAUGAUUCUAAUG